rnacentral:rRNA from 13 species
GCCUACGACCAUACCACGUUGAAAACACCAGUUCUCGUCCGAUCACUGAAGUUAAGCAACGUCGGGCCAGGUUAGUACUUGGAUGGGUGACCGCCUGGGAAUACCUGGUGUUGUAGGCUU